CCCUGUUCCGAGGGGUGUUUGCGCAGGUAGACUGAACAGGCAGACUGAGAUGGCCGAGGCCGAACCCUUCGAACCUGAUCCGGGUCAUACCGGCGAAGGGACGGAAUACAAAGGUCGC
rnacentral:ncRNA from 1 species